rnacentral:rRNA from 1 species
CCCCGGGCGCCCCUGGGCCCCACCGCGGGCGCCCGCCGGAGGUCACCAAACUCUUGAUAAUUUAUGGCCUCUCUGAGUCUUCUGUACUGAAUAAGUCAAAACUUUCAACAACGGAUCUCUUGGUUCUGGCAUCGAUGAAGAACGCAGCGAAAUGCGAUAAGUAAUGUGAAUUGCAGAAUUCAGUGAAUCAUCGAAUCUUUGAACGCACAUUGCGCCCGCCAGCAUUCUGGCGGGCAUGCCUGUUCGAGCGUCAUUUCAACCAUCAAGCCCCCGGGCUUGUGUUGGGGACCUGCGGCUGCCGCAGGCCCUGAAAAGCAGUGGCGGGCUCGCUGUCGCACCGAGCGUAGUAGCAUACAUCUCGCUCUGGUCGCGCCGCGGGUUCCGGCCGUUAAACCACCUUUUAACCCAAGGUGACCUCGGAUCAGAGAGCCCC